rnacentral:rRNA from 1 species
UACGGAGGGGGCUAGCGUUGUUCGGAAUUACUGGGCGUAAAGCGCACGUAGGCGGCUUUGUAAGUUAGAGGUGAAAGCCCAGGGCUUAACCGCUGGAAUUGCCUUUAAGACUGCAUCGCUAGAAUUGUGGAGAGGUAAGUGGAAUUCCGAGUGUAGAGGUGAAAUUCGUAGAUAUUCGGAAGAACACCAGUGGCGAAGGCGACUUACUGGACACAUAUUGACGCUGAGGUGCGAAAGCGUGGGGAGCAAACAGG